CUCUCUGCGGGAGAGAGCAGCCACCGAUGGUGGGCUGCCGCCGAAGGCGCAACCGCCCGGAAUCGCUCAGGCAAACGAACCGCAGAC
rnacentral:ncRNA from 1 species